UACAGGGGGGGCAAGCGUUGUUCGGAAUUACUGGGCGUAAAGGGCUCGUAGGCGGCCAACUAAGUCACACGUGAAAUCCCCAGGCUUAACCUGGGAACUGCGUGUGAUACUGGAUGGCUUGAAUUCGGGAGAGGGAUGCAGAAUUCCAGGUGUAGCGGUGAAAUGCGCAGAUAUCAGGAGGAACACCGAUGGCGAAGGCAGGUCUCUGGGCCACUACUGACGCUGAGAAGCGAAAGCAUGGGGAGCGAACAGG
rnacentral:rRNA from 1 species